rnacentral:rRNA from 1 species
UACAGAGGUCCCAAGCGUUGUUCGGAUUCACUGGGCGUAAAGGGCGCGUAGGUGGCCUGCUAAGCGUGGGGUGAAAGCUCGGGGCUCAACCCCGAGUCGGCCGUGCGAACUGGUGGGCUUGAGCACUGUAGAGGCAGGCGGAAUUCCGGGUGUAGCGGUGGAAUGCGUAGAGAUCCGGAAGAACACCGGUGGCGAAGGCGGCCUGCUGGGCAGUAGCUGACACUGAGGCGCGACAGCGUGGGGAGCAAACAGG